AUUGAACGCUGGCGGCAGGCCUAACACAUGCAAGUCGAGCGGAUGAAGGGAGCUUGCUCCUGGAUUCAGCGGCGGACGGGUGAGUAAUGCCUAGGAAUCUGCCUGGUAGUGGGGGAUAACGUCCGGAAACGGGCGCUAAUACCGCAUACGUCCUGAGGGAGAAAGUGGGGGAUCUUCGGACCUCACGCUAUCAGAUGAGCCUAGGUCGGAUUAGCUAGUUGGUGGGGUAAAGGCCUACCAAGGCGACGAUCCGUAACUGGUCUGAGAGGAUGAUCAGUCACACUGGAACUGAGACACGGUCCAGACUCCUACGGGAGGCAGCAGUGGGGAAUAUUGGACAAUGGGCGAAAGCCUGAUCCAGCCAUGCCGCGUGUGUGAAGAAGGUCUUCGGAUUGAAAAGCACUUUAAGUUGGGAGGAAGGGCAGUAAGUUAAUACCUUGCUGUUUUGACGUUACCAACAGAAUAAGCACCGGCUAACUUCGU
rnacentral:rRNA from 1 species